rnacentral:rRNA from 1 species
AACGAACGCUGGCGGCAGGCCUAACACAUGCAAGUCGAACGCACCGCAAGGUGAGUGGCGCACGGGUGAGUAACACGUGGGAAUGUAUCCUUUGGUUCGGAAUAACGUCUGGAAACGGACGCUAAUACCGGAUGAGCCCUAUGGGGGAAAGAUUUAUCGCCGAAGGAGCAGCCCGCGUCUGAUUAGGUAGUUGGUGGGGUAAAGGCCUACCAAGCCGACGAUCAGUAGCUGGUCUGAGAGGAUGAUCAGCCACACUGGGACUGAGACGCGGCCCAGACUCCUACGGGAGGCAGCAGUGGGGAAUAUUGGACAAUGGGCGCAAGCCUGAUCUAGCCAUGCCGCGUGGGUGAUGAAGGCCUUAGGGUCGUAAAGCCCUUUCGCCGGGGAAGAUAAUGACGGUACCCGGUAAAGAAACCCCGGCUAACUCCGUGCCAGCCGCCGCCGUAAAAC